GACAGAGGGUGCAAACGUUGUUCGGAAUUACUGGGCGUAAAGCGAGUGUAGGCGGUUUGGUAAGUCGGACGUGAAAGCCCCGGGCUCAACCCGGGAAGUGCACUCGAUACUGCCAAGCUAGAGUAUCGGAGAGGUUGGUGGAAUUCUCGGUGUAGAGGUGAAAUUCGUAGAUAUCGAGAGGAACACCGGUGGCGAAGGCGGCCAACUGGACGAAUACUGACGCUGAGACUCGAAAGCGUGGGGAGCAAACAGG
rnacentral:rRNA from 1 species